CCUACGGGGCGCAGCAGUGGGGCAUAUUGCACAAUGGGGGAAACCCUGAUGCAGCGACGCCGCGUGAGUGAAGAAGUAAUUCGUUAUGUAAAGCUCUAUCAGCAGGGAAGAAAAUGACGGUACCUGAGUAAGAAGCCCCGGCUAACUACGUGCCAGCAGCCGCGGUAAUACGUCGGGGGCAAGCGUUAUCCGGAUUUACUGGUGGUAAAGGGAGCGUAGACGGCAGUGCAAGUCUGGAGUGAAAGGCGGGGGACAAACCCCCGGACUUCUCUGGAAACUGUACGGAUGGAGUGCAGGAGGGGUAAGUUGAAUUCCUAGUGGAGCGGUGAAAUGCGUAGAGAUUAGGAGGAACACCAGUGGCGAAGGCGGCUUACUGGACUGUAACUGACGUUGAGGCUCGAAAGCGUGGGGAGCAAACAGGAUUAGAUACCCUAGUAGUC
rnacentral:rRNA from 1 species